UACGGAGGGGACUAGCGUUGUUCGGAAUUACUGGGCGUAAGGCGCACGUAGGCGGAUUUGUAAGUCAGGGGUGAAAUCCCGAGGCUCAACCUCGGAACUGCCUUUGAUACUGCAAAUCUCGAGUCCGGAAGAGGUGAGUGGAAUUCCUAGUGUAGAGGUGAAAUUCGUAGAUAUUAGGAAGAACACCAGUGGCGAAGGCGGCUCACUGGUCCGGUACUGACGCUGAGGUGCGAAAGCGUGGGGAGCAAACAGG
rnacentral:rRNA from 1 species